AACGCACAUUGCGCCCCGUGGUAUUCCGCGGGGCAUACCUGUUCGAGCGUCAUUAUGACCAAUCCCGCUCGCGGGGUCUUGGGCACCGCCUCUGGGCGGGCCUCAAAAUCAGUGGCGGUACGGCCGGGCUCUGAGCGUAGUAAAUCUUCUCGCUACAGGGUCCCGGGCGGCACUGGCCAGCAACCCCCAAUCUUUUACAGGUCGACCUCGGAUCAGGUAGGGAUACCCGCUGAACAUAA
rnacentral:misc_RNA from 1 species